CACGUAGGGCGCAAGCGUUGUCCGGAAUUAUUGGGCGUAAAGAGCUCGUAGGCGGUCUGUUACGUCUGCUGUGAAAACCCUGGGCUUAACCCUGGGCUUGCAGUGGAUACGGGCAGACUAGAGGCAGGUAGGGGAGAAUGGAAUUCCCGGUGUAGCGGUGAAAUGCGCAGAUAUCGGGAGGAACACCAAUAGCGAAGGCAGCUCGCUGGGACGGUACUGACGCUAAGGCGCGAAAGCGUGGGGAGCGAACAGG
rnacentral:rRNA from 1 species